UGCCAGCAGCCGCGGUAAGACGGAGGGCGCAAGCGUUGUUCGGAAUCACUGGGCAUAAAGAGCACGUAGGCGGCUUAUUAAGUCAGGUGUGAAAGCCCUGGGCUCAACCCGGGAACUGCACUUGAUACUGAUGAGCUAGAGGAGAGCAGGGGUGAGUGGAACUUCAGGUGGAACGGUGAAAUGUGUAGAUAUCUGAAGGAACACCGGUGGCGAAAGCGGCUCACUGGGCUCUCUCUGACGCUGAGGUGCGAAAGCUAGGGUAGCGAACGGGAUUAGAUA
rnacentral:rRNA from 1 species